UAUAAUACAGAUAUAAAAGUGAGCAAAUUAUUACAAAUUAAAGGGCGUAAGAUUACAAACAAAAAAACAUAAGGCACAGCUAAAUACAUGGCACAGACACACACAUAGAUAAACAAACACACACACACAUACACAUGUGUGUACAUAUAUACAAUACGAUUAAAAAGUAAUUAUAUUGAAAGUGCUGCUAUACUACAGUGGCAUCAAUUACAUGGCAAACAUACAUAUUUAAAUUUACACACACACACACACACACAGGCAUACAGACACAUAUAGGGCCACACAUUUGCGGUUUUGGCAUAAUCCGAAAUUUGUAAAGCCCAGCUUUGAGCUGUACGUCCGAUGCACAGAUGCGUUAAAGCCUAAACGUUGCAAAUACCCCAAAUGAUAAAUAUGACGCAUAAUUACAUAUACUAAAUGAGCACCACAAACACACACACACACACACACACACAUACACAUAGAUAACCGCUGGCUAAGUGUUGGGGCUGCCGCAUAAGUUCACAAAGCUAUUGUCAAGUGUGCUGCGUGUGAAGCAGAAAUGGAAAUAGAGCUAUGAAUAGGGUGUGUGUGUGUGUGAGAGAGAGAGAGAGAGAGAGAGAGAGAGAGAGAGAGAGCAGGAAAGUUGUUACAAUUGACUGUGGCAGGCGGGUGGUGUGGGCGUGGCUGGGUGCUGGCAUGCUUACAAGUUUCAACAACAAUUUCCGUCGAUUGUCUUGAAGAAGUGUGGAAAAAAAGUAUUUUUCUUGCCCGAUGUCAACACGGAUAAGAUGCUGGCUAAAGAUACAGAGAUACAUAAAGAGAUGUGUAUGUAUAUGCGUAUGCGUAUGCGUAUGUGUGUGUGUGUGUGUGUGUGUGGCUCGCUUGUGUGUGUGUUUGUGUGUGUGUGCAACUAUGAACUAUGCGCGCCUAUCGCUCGAUUAUGUCUACUGCUGCACGGGGCCUUUAACUUGGCCAAUAAACGAACCAAAUUGCGGUUGUGGCAUGUUGCAAGCUCUUAACAAAAUGGCUGC